rfam:Medicago truncatula strain A17 chromosome 5, whole genome shotgun sequence.
AAACAGCCCCUUAUGUUUUGAUUCUUUGGCAGUUUUGGACCCCCAAGGCAAAAAAAAAAAAAAAAAUUGACACGUGGCAUCCUCACUUAGGAUGCCACGUCAGCGUUGACCGAGUCAACAAUGGACUGGGGAUCCAAAACUGCCAAAGAAUCAAAACAUAGGGGGCUGUUU